AAACUGAGGAUAAUACUGGAUAGGCAAUUAUUCCUGGAAUGGUUUUUUGUUUAAAUGUUUUUUCGCCUAAGGAUGGGUCUGCGGCCGAUUAGGUAGUUGGUUAGGUAACGGCUUACCAAGCCAUUGAUCGGUACGGGUUGUGAGAGCAAGAGCCCGGAGAUGGAACCUGAGACAAGGUUCCAGGCCCUACGGGGUGCAGCAGGCGCGAAACCUCCGCAAUGUGAGAAAUCGCGACGGGGGGAUCCCAAGUGCCAUUCUUAACGGGAUGGCUUUUCAUUAGUGUAAAGAGCUUUUGGAAUAAGGGCUGGGCAAGACCGGUGCCAGCCGCCGCGGUAACACCGGCAGCUCUAGUGGUAGCAGUUUUUAUUGGGCCUAAAGCGUCCGUAGCCGGUUUAAUAAGUCUCUGGUGAAAUCCUGUAGCUUAACUGUGGGAAUUGCUGGAGAUACUAUUAGACUUGGGACCGGGAGAGGUUAGAGGUACUCCCAGGGUAGAGGUGAAAUUCUGUAAUCCUGGGAGGACCGCCUGUUGCGAAGGCGUCUAACUGGAACGGUUCUGACGGUGAGGGACGAAAGUUAGGGGCGCGAACCGGAUUAGAUACCCGGGUAGUCCUAACCGUAAACGAUGCGGACUUGGUGUUGGGGUGGCUUUGAGCUGCUCCAGUGCCGAAGGGAAGCUGUUAAGUCCGCCGCCUGGGAAGUACGGUCGCAA
rnacentral:rRNA from 1 species